rnacentral:rRNA from 1 species
UACGUAGGGCGCGAGCGUGUCCGGAUUAUUGGGCGUAAAGAGCUCGUAGGUGGCUUGUCGCGUCUGUCGUGAAAGCCCGGGGCUUAACUCCGGGUCUGCGGUGGAUACGGGCAGGCUAGAGGCAGGUAGGGGAGAAUGGAAUUCCCGGUGUAGCGGUGAAAUGCGCAGAUAUCGGGAGGAACACCGGUGGCGAAGGCGGUUCUCUGGGCCUGUACUGACGCUGAGGAGCGAAAGCGUGGGGAGCGAACAGG